rnacentral:rRNA from 1 species
AUUGAACGCUGUCGGCAUGCUUUACACAUGCAAGUCGAACGGUAACAGGCCUUCGGGUGCUGACGAGUGGCGAACGGGUGAGUAAUGCAUCGGAACGUACCCAGAGGUGGGGGAUAACGCAGCGAAAGCUGUGCUAAUACUGCAUGUGAUCUGAGGAUGAAAGCGGGGGACCGAGCAGCAAUGUUUGGCCUCGCGCCUUUGGAGCGGCCGAUGUCGGAUUAGCUAGUUGGUGGGGUAAAGGCCUACCAAGGCGACGAUCCGUAGCUGGUCUGAGAGGACGACCAGCCACACUGGGACUGAGACACGGCCCAGACUCCUACGGGAGGCAGCAGUGGGGAAUUUUGGACAAUGGGCGCAAGCCUGAUCCAGCAAUGCCGCGUGCGGGAAGAAGGCCUUCGGGUUGUAAACCGCUUUUGGCAGGAACGAAACGGUGUCCGCUAAUACCGGGCGCUAAUGACGGUACCUGCAGAAUAAGCACCGGCUAACUACGUG